rnacentral:misc_RNA from 1 species
GGUUGGAUCAUUACAGAAAUGGAGUGGGCUCCGGCCCACCUGCACUGCUGCCCGAAAGGGUUUCAGCGUAGUAAUUUCCAAACAUUUGUGCACUGUUCUGUCUCUGGCGGCGGGGUAAAGUAUGGCAUAUGCAAGUACUGCCAUAGUUGCCUGUCAGUCUGGCGUAAUAGCCUGGCCGUGGACAAACCGCCAAUUGAUUAAACAAACUUUAUAUUUACAAUUUCAGUCUAAAGUAAACUUGUAUGUAAAAUUACAAACAACUUUUGGCAACGGAUCUCUUGGCUCUCGCAACGAUGAAGAACGCAGCGAAAUGCGAUAAGUAGUGUGAAUUGCAGAAUUCAGUGAAUCAUCGAAUCUUUGAACGCACAUUGCGCUCCCUGGCAUUCCGGGGAGCAUGCCCGUUUCAGAAUCAUUAAAUACAUCUCACCACUCUGGUGGUGGACGAUGGACAGUUUGGACUUGCAAAAGUUCAAUUGUCUGAAAAUGAUUGUGCGCGCUCUGGCUGUUGUCGGUUAGCUCUAAAGGUGCAACAAGAUUAACCAUCUAUUCACCUUCUGUGGGCUGGCCAUAUACGACGAAGGCGUUGUGUACUCCCUUUAUUAACCGUGCUGUGUAGCCUAGCUGCAUGGCUCGUUAACUUGGUCUGAAAUCGGGCAAGAAAACCCGCUGAACUUAAGCAUAUCAAUAAGCGGAGGAAAAGAAACUAACAAGGAUUCCCCUAGUAACGGCGAGUGAAGCGGGAACAGCUCAAAUUUGAAAUCUCACAGGGUUACCUGUGCGAAUUGUAGUUUAGAGAAGCGUCUUCGGGGGUGACUUGGGUAUAAGUCCUCUGGAAUGGGGCAUCAUAGAGGGUGAGAAUCCCGUUUAUGAUCCAAUGUUCACUCCUAUGUGAUACGCUUUCCAAGAGUCAGGUAGUUUGGGAUUGCUGCCUAAAAUGGGUGGUAAAUACCAUCUAAAGCUAAAUAUUGGCGAGAGACCGAUAGCGAACAAGUACCGUGAGGGAAAGAUGAAAAGAACUUUGAAAAGAGAGUUAAACAGUACGUGAAAUUGCCAAAAGGGAAACGCUUGGAACCAGUAUUGCCUGCAAGUAAUCAGCCACACAGCCCGAAAGAGUGAUUGUGGUGCACUUGCUUGUAUGCAGGUCAACAUCAGUUUGGUAUCGGGUAAAAAGCCGGAGGAAGGUAGCUUGGGCUUCGGUCUGAGUGUUAUAGCCUACGGUCAUGCCCGGGACUGGACUGAGGCCCGCAGCGUUAUUUGGGUACCCGAUCGCCUCUUGAACCAUAUCUCUAGACAGCACGCUGACUAGGGGUAUAGCUAGGGAGCCCGGUUGGUUUACCACACCAAUGCUUAGGAUGUUGAUGAAAUGGUUCUAAACGACCCGUCUUGAAACACGGACCAAGGAGUCUAACAUAUAUGCGAGUGUUUGGGUGGCAAACCCUUACGCGAAAUGAAAGUGAACUUAGGUGGGAUCUUCGGUGCACCAUCGACCGGUCUGGAUUUUUUUGAUAGAUCUGAGUAAGAGCAUAUCUGUUGGGACCCGAAAGAUGGUGAACUAUGCCUGAAUAGGGUGAAGCCAGAGGAAACUCUGGUGGAGGCUCGUAGCGAUUCUGACGUGCAAAUCGAUCGUCAAAUUUGGGUAUAGGGGCGAAAGACUAAUCGAACCAUCUAGUAGCUGGUUCCCUC